UACAGAGGUGGCUAACGUUGUUCGGAUUUACUGGGCGUAAAGGGUGCGUAGGUGGACGGGUAUGUUGGAUGUGAAAGCCCACGGCUUAACCGUGGAAUUGCAUUCAAAACUGCAAGUCUGGAGUGCAGAAGGGGAGAGCGGAAUUCUUGGUGUAGCGGUGAAAUGCGUUGAUAUCAAGAAGAACACCGGUGGCGAAGGCGGCUCUCUGGUCUGUAACUGACACUGAGGCACGAGAGCUAGGGGAGCAAACAGG
rnacentral:rRNA from 1 species